UUAAACCUGCUUUAUUUAAAUGAAUGUAACACACAUUAUUAUAUCCUUCUGGCUAAAUCCCAAAUGGCACCCUAAAUGACCAGUUCAAAAGUAGCGCACUUUAUAGGGAACAGGGUGUCAUUUGGGCCAAAUAUAGGAUCAUAUGACUGUAGCCUUCUGCGUUCAGCAGAGACCACUUUUUCCUUGUUGGCACUUUAUCUGUUGGUUAGUAGGUGCUAUUGAACCUUUUGAGCCAUACGCUAUUGGGUUAGUCAGGCUGAUCAACAAGUGUCAAUGAGGUGUUGGGUUAGUCAGGCUGAUCAACAAGUGUCAAUAAGGUGUUGGGAUCAACAAGUCUCAAUAAGAUGUUGGGUUAGGCAGGCUGAUCAACAAGUCUCAAUAAGGUGUUGGGUUAGUCAGGCUGAUCAACAAGUCUCAAUAAGGUGUUGGGAUCAACAAGUCUCAAUAAGGUGUUGGGUUAGGCAGGCUGAUCAACAAGUCUCAAUAAGAUGUUGGGUUAGGCAGGCUGAUCAACAAGUCUCAAUAAGAUGUUGGGUUAGGCAGGCUGAUCAACAAGUCUCAAUAAGGUGAUGGGUUAGGCAGGCUGAUCAACAAGUCUCAAUAAGAUGUUGGGUUAGUCAGGCUGAUCAACAAGUCUCAAUAAGGUGUUGGGUUAGUCAGGCUGAUCAACAAGUCUCAAUAAGAUGUUGGGUUAGUCAGGCUGAUCAACAAGUCUCAAUAAGGUGUUGGGUUAGUCAGGCUGAUCAACAAGUCUCAAUAAGAUGUUGGGUUAGUCAGGCUGAUCAGCAAGUCUCAAUAAGAUGUUGGGUUAGUCAGGCUGAUCAGCAAGUCUCAAUAAGAUGUUGGGUUAGUCAGGCUGAUCAACAAGUGUCAAUAAGGUGUUGGGUUAGUCAGGCUGAUCAACAAGUCUCAAGCCUCAAAUACCUUAGUAAUAUAUUCUGUCUAUGGACUCAUGCUACUCAUUUUCACUGGGGGUUGUGUCCCAAAUGGCAACUCAUUCUGCUAUUCUAUAAGUGGAAUAAGGUGCCGUUAGGGAGACAAGCCGUCUCAGAACAUACGCUGUUAAACCAUUGAGUACAUUACUGUGCUGUUACAUAUUUAUAUCAUUUGUAAGUAUGCAUUAUUAUCAUUAUUUUAUAUUUGUAUACAUGCACUAGUUUUUAAGUGUGCAUUAUUUUUCGGGACAUGAAUCAAACUGACGUGUAAAAAAAAAAUAAAGUACUUUUUUGUUAA